GGGCGCGCGACCCCCGGGGUCGCCCCGCCCGCGGCGCAGAGCCUCCGGGGCGGGGGAAGGCGCCCUGCGGCGCAGGGAGGGGCUGCCGUGGGACAAGCCUGGAGUUGUUGUUCUUCCCACGGCGAAACGGCCUCCUUUGCCGCGGUAGUUGUUUCCAGACCCGACGAAGCAGGUCCUCUCCGGCUGGAUGCUGUGACUGUGCAGUCUGCCAACAGCGAGAAUCAGUUCAAGCAGGGAGAAAGUUGUUCGGAGAGGGGGCGAGGAGUCCGGAGCUCCGCGCGGGGGACCUAGGAACCAGGGGGACCCAGGAACCAGGUGUCCGCGCUUGGGCGGCAGCGAGGCUGCGUGGCGGUUGCGGCAAGAACCACUGUUCACUCGGCUCCGGAUCGGGCCGUCUGCCCUUCCUAAGGAGGAACCUUCCUGCACAACUAAGUUGCCAUUCGGUCUUUGUAGGAGGGAGUUUGGGAUGGGAAUUUCGCACCUGUUUGCCUCUUCCCCCUCCCACCCUCGCCACCGCAUUCACUUUUUAGAGCCCUACCUUCUCAGUCGUUUAAAUGUUACUGUUUUUUUAAGUGACAUAUCUGUUAGUCACCUUUUAAAAUAUGAAGUACCUAUGCAAAUUUGAAUUAUGUGGUGAAAAAACACCUUUACGAUGAAAACAGCUUCUUUUAAGGCAAGGAAAUGACAAUUGACUAUAAUGCUAAAUGUAUCCGCUGAAAAAAGAGCCUACUUACACAUGAGAAUUACACGUUUUUCUCCAGCAUUUAUAUGUAGCGGCUUGGAAACGUCUGGAAAUCUAGAAGAUUCUGACAAGGAGACAAAUUUCUGAUACUUAAAGGCUCCGCGGCUCUCUGGGUGGAGAAAUUUAAAAACUAAGUUCUGAUAAGAUGUUUUAGCAUUCAACUAAAACAAUAAAAUAUUUAAAAUAGGGAAGUAAGAAAGAGGAAGAGAAACAAAGAACGGAAAUAAUUUACAGCAAUCUCAGAAAUUUAAUUCCAAAUUGCCAGAAGUCAUGCAUCACAUAAUCAUGGGGAUACAUUCCGAGAAAUUCAUCAUUGGAUGAUUUUGUCUUUGUGUGAACAUCAUAGAAUGGACUUACACAAACCUAGAUAGUAUAACCUACUCUCUGGGCUAUAUGGUAUAGCCUAUUGCUCCUGGACUACAAACCUGUACUGCUUAUUACUUUAGUGAAUACUGUAGAAAACUGUAACACGAUGGUAAGUAUUUGCGUGUCUAAACAUAGAAAAAAUACCAUAAAAAUAUGAUAUAAUCUAUGGGACCAGUGUAUAUGCAAUCUGUUAUUAAUCGAAUGUCACUAUGCAGCACAUGACUAAGUUUUUCAGCUUUGCUGUCACUCGUUAAAUAUUUGUAAGACCCUGGAUCUUCUUGUGCCAUCCCAGAAAUUUCUAACUGAGACCCAUGGAUCCUUUAUCACAGAUACGAACUCCACAAAUCCCCCUGAAAUCAUGUGCAAAAAUUUGUAGUUUCAUUUCUCUUUUUUUGUGGGAGUAGAUAUCAUACGUAUGUGAAGGGCUGUACACCCUCCCUGGCUGACAUCUGCUUUAACAGCUUCAACUGCAUCUAUGUCACCAACUCUUUUUUAUUAUAGGCAAGCUUUAUUAUGUAUGAACUUGAUUUCACAUGCAAAGUUAGAAUUACAAUUUCACUGAAAAUUAACUCAUUAAAAUAUAUAAACAUCACA